rnacentral:rRNA from 1 species
AUUGAACGCUGGCGGCAUGCUUUACACAUGCAAGUCGGACGAGUGGCGAACGGGUGAGUAAUAUAUUGGAACGUACCGAGUAAUGGGGGAUAACCAAUCGAAAGAUUGGCUAAUACCGCAUAUUAUUCUAGCGGCCAAUGUCUUAUUAGCUAGUUGGUGGGGUAAAGGCCUACCAAGGCGACGAGCAGUAGCGGUUCUGAGAGGAUGAUCCGCCACACGUGGACGGGGACACGGCCCAGAAUCCUAGGGGAGGCAGCAUUGGGAAAUUUUGGACAAUGGGCGCAAGCCUGAUCCAGCCAUGCGGCGUGUCUGAAGAAGGCCUUCGGGUUGUAAAGGACUUUUGUUAGGGAAGCGGUACCUAAAGAAUAAGCACCGGCUAACUACGUGCCAGCAGCCGCGGUAAUAC